AUUGAACGCUGGCGGCAUGCCUUACACAUGCAAGUCGAACGGUAACAGGUCUUCGGAUGCUGACGAGUGGCGAACGGGUGAGUAAUACAUCGGAACGUGCCUAGUAGUGGGGGAUAACUACUCGAAAGAGUGGCUAAUACCGCAUGAGAUCUACGGAUGAAAGCAGGGGAUCGCAAGACCUUGUGCUACUAGAGCGGCCGAUGGCAGAUUAGGUAGUUGGUGGGAUAAAAGCUUACCAAGCCGGCGAUCUGUAGCUGGUCUGAGAGGACGAUCAGCCACACUGGGACUGAGAAACGGCCCAGACUCCUACGGGAGGCAGCAGUGGGGAAUUUUGGACAAUGGGCGCAAGCCUGAUCCAGCAAUGCCGCGUGCAGGAUGAAGGCCUUCGGGUUGUAAACUGCUUUUGUACGGAACGAAAAGCCCCGGGUUAAUGCCCUGGGGUCAUGACGGUACCGUAAGAAUAAGCACCGGCUAACUACGUGCCAGCAGCCGCAGUAA
rnacentral:rRNA from 1 species